rnacentral:rRNA from 1 species
UGAAUACGAGAUGCUACGGCGUCGAAGCAGUCUAUGUCAUACUUCCAAGAAAAGCUCGCACUGUCAUAAACAAAUAAUGCCUGUACCAUAACCGACACAGGUGGGUAGGUAGAGUAUACUAAGGGGCGCGAGAUAACUCUCUCUAAGGAACUCGGCAAAAUGACUCCGUAACUUCGGGAGAAGGAGUGCCUUAUUUAUAAGGUUGCAAUAACAAGAUCCAAGCAACUGUUUAUCAAAAACACAGGUCUCCGCUAAGUCGUAAGACGAUGUAUGGGGGCUGACGCCUGCCCAGUGCCAGAAGGUUAAAGAAGUUGGUUAGCAUUCGCGAAGCUGAUAACUGAAGCCCUGGUGAACGGCGGCCGUAACUAUAACGGUCCUAAGGUAGCGAAAUUCCUUGUCGGGUAAGUUCCGACCCGCACGAAAGGCGUAAUGAUUUGGAUACUGUCUCGGAGAGGGGCUCGGUGAAAUAGACUUGUCUGUGAAGAUGCGGACUACCUGCACCAGGACAGAAAGACCCUAUGAAGCUUUACUGUAACUUGAGAUUGAAAUUGGACUUUACUUGCGCAGUAUAGGUGGGAGGCGUUGAUAAUAUUCUUGCGGGAUUAUUUGAGCCAUCAGUGAGAUACCACUCUUGUAAUGUUAGAUUUCUAACUUUGUAUCAUUAUCUGGUCAAAGGACAGUUUCAGGCGGGCAGUUUGACUGGGGCGGUCGCCUCCUAAACGGUAACGGAGGCGCACAAAGGUUUCCUCUGAACGGGUAGAAAUCGUAUCUAGAGUGUAAAGGCAUAAGGAAGCUUGACUGUGAGACCUACAAGUCGAGCAGGGACGAAAGUCGGUCUUAGUGAUCUGACGGUGCUGAGUGGAAAGGCCGUCACUCAACGGAUAAAAGUUACUCUAGGAUAACAGGCUGAUCUCCCCCAAGAGUUCACAUCGACGGGGAGGUUUGGCACCUCGAUGUCGGCUCAUCGCAUCCUGGGGCGGUAGUACGUCCCAAGGGUUGGGCUGUUCGCCCAUGAAAGCGGUACGCGAGCUGGGUUCAGAACGUCGUGAGACAGUUCGGUCCAUAUCCGGUGUAGGCGUUAGAAUAUUGAGAGGAGCCUUCUUUAGUACGAGAGGACCGAGAAGGACAUACCUCUGGUGUACCAGUUAUCGUGCCAACGGUAAACGCUGGGUAGCUAUGUAUGGAGUGGAUAACCGCUGAAAGCAUCUAAGUGGGAAGCCCACCUCAAGAUAAGUAUUCUCA